rnacentral:piRNA from 1 species
UGGGUAGGCUAAAACAGAAGCGUCU